rnacentral:tRNA from 1 species
GGUAGUAUAGUUUAAGUAAAACUUUUAGAUUGCAAAUCUAUUAAUAUGGAUGCCAUUACUACCU